GACACCGUGGCCGAGUGGUUAAGGCGAUGGACUGCUAAUCCAUUUCCCUAUGGGAUCGCGAGUUCGAAUCUCGUCGGUGUCG
rnacentral:tRNA from 1 species